rnacentral:rRNA from 1 species
UACGGAGGGUGCAAGCGUUAUCCGGAUUUACUGGGUUUAAAGGGUGCGUAGGCGGUCGGGUAAGUCUGAUGUGAAAUCUCACAGCUUAACUGUGAAACUGCAUUGGAUACUAUUCGGCUUGAGAGUUGGAGGGGGGGACUGGAAUUCUUGGUGUAGCAGUGAAAUGCGUAGAUAUCAAGAGGAACACCAGUGGCGAAGGCGAGUCCCUGGACAACUUCUGACGCUGAGGCACGAAAGCUAGGGGAGCAAACAGG